UCAGUAAAACAAAACGGGUUACAAGAGGCUUUAGAAAAUAAAAUUUUUUUGAUGAAAGCCCAAAUUAUUUGCCCUAAGAGCAAUAAGUUUUUAGCGGAGAGGAAAAGCCGAAGCGCCUUUCCAUCCCGUUUUCUGUGUUCCCAAGUCCGUUAAGCAGUUGUUCCUAACACCUGACCUAGGUCUCUCCUUGGUACGAAGAAUGAGUAGCGAGGGAGCGUAGAAGGCUAUAAAAGCGCCGGCUGAUUUUCUCAAAUCCAUUAGGCGUCGACCCGUUGUUGUGAAGCUCAAUUCCAGAGUCGACUAUAGAGGUAUCCGAGCAUGUCUGGAUGGGUAUAUGAACAUUGCAAUGGAGCAAACAGAAUGGGCAGCUGAAAAACAAACAUGGAGAUGCUUUUAUAAGAGGAAAUAAUGUACUUACUGUACAUCAGUACGACAAAGAGGACCCUUGCCGAUGGUGCAUAGUGGUGAAAAGCUGUGAAUUGUAGCUACAGGAGAAUAGCUGCCGUAUUGUAUUAAUCUGGUGGCCUUUAGUCAUGACUUCUAAUUGGAACAAAGUGGUUGCAUAAAUUAAAUGUGCCUUUACUAUGUAAACAUGGUAACAUGUCAAACAAUAGUCUUUGAAUCCAAUGAUGAUCCAAGUUCAUGAACGUAUUGCUUCAACGCUGGAAUGAUAUUCUGUUCAGAGUUGAGAUUUAGUUCGUGCAAACAAUACAAAUAUUUUCCAUCGAUAAUUUCCUAGAUAUUGCCUGGGAACAAACUUUGCUCCCUGUAAGUAAAAAUCGGUGGGUGAAUUCAUUUGUGAAUCGGAACAUAUUUCUCUUGUAAGCUUUAGAAGUAAGAGAAACAGAACCCAUCUCUUCGCUGUGAGACGUGCAAAUGACUGCCUGUUAUCAAGUCUUCGAAUCUUCACAGCAUAAUUUCAUACGGAAACUUCAGGAAUUUUCUGUUUUUCAGAU